AUUGAACGCUGGCGGCAUGCUUUACACAUGCAAGUCGAACGGCAGCACGGGGGCAACCCUGGUGGCGAGUGGCGAACGGGUGAGUAACACAUCGGAACGUGCCCAGUUGUGGGGGAUAACCUAUCGAAAGGUAGGCUAAUACCGCAUGAGCUCGGCGAGAGGAAAGCGGGGGACCCAGCGAUGGGCCUCGCGCGACUGGAGCGGCCGAUGUCCGAUUAGCUAGUUGGGGGGUAAAGGCUUACCAAGGCGACGAUCGGUAGCUGGUCUGAGAGGAUGAUCAGCCACACUGGGACUGAGACACGGCCCAGACUCCUACGGGAGGCAGCAGUGGGAAUUUUGGACAAUGGGGGCAACCCUGAUCCAGCCAUGCCGCGUGAGUGAAGAAGGCCUGGUG
rnacentral:rRNA from 1 species